rnacentral:rRNA from 1 species
CAGUGUCUGGUGGGUAGUUUGACUGGGGCGGUCUCCUCCUAAAGAGUAACGGAGGAGCACGAAGGUUGGCUAAUCCUGGUCGGACAUCAGGAGGUUAGUGCAAUGGCAUAAGCCAGCUUGACUGCGAGCGUGACGGCGCGAGCAGGUGCGAAAGCAGGUCAUAGUGAUCCGGUGGUUCUGAAUGGAAGGGCCAUCGCUCAACGGAUAAAAGGUACUCCGGGGAUAACAGGCUGAUACCGCCCAAGAGUUCAUAUCGACGGCGGUGUUUGGCACCUCGAUGUCGGCUCAUCACAUCCUGGGGCUGAAGUAGGUCCCAAGGGUAUGGCUGUUCGCCAUUUAAAGUGGUACGCGAGCUGGGUUUAGAACGUCGUGAGACAGUUCGGUCCCUAUCUGCCGUGGGCGCUGGAGAACUGAGGGGGGCUGCUCCUAGUACGAGAGGACCGGAGUGGACGCAUCACUGGUGUUCGGGUUGUCAUGCCAAUGGCACUGCCCGGUAGCUAAAUGCGGAAGAGAUAAGUGCUGAAAGCAUCUAAGCACGAAACUUGCCCCGAGAUGAGUUCUCCCUGACUCCUUGAGAGUCCUGAAGGAACGUUGAAGACGACGACGUUGAUAGGCCGGGUGUGUAAGCGCAGCGAUGCGUUGAGCUAACCGGUACUAAUGAACCGUGAGGCUUAACCUU